GGCCUGUUUGAGCAGGCAUUGCAAAUCUUAAAAACAAUAAGAUGAAUAAUCAUCACUGUUUGAUCACUGCCAUUUAUUGAGUACCUUCUCCAUGGCAGAUGCUAAGAUAAGACCUAACAUGCAUCAUCUCUGAUUUUACAAGUCUUCGAGGUUGCAGCCAUGAAAAUGCCCUGGUCAGCCAUGAUUGACCAUGACAGGGGUACUAGUGCAGGCCUGUUCCUGCUGGACAUGGAACCCCUCUAAUGGCUUAAGGACUCCCACUGGCUGGCAGAAACUUUCUUAGAACAACACUGUAGUCUAAGACUCUUCCUACUGAAUUCUCUUUCCUUCUCCCUCUCCUUUCAUGGGGGUCAGGCCUGCACUGCAGUCUGGGGCUUCCUCUGCCUACUUCAGUUCCUUCCUGAACAUUUUACAGGUGUUUCCCCCAAUAAUUCUCUUAUAUGCCUAAUCCCAUCUUGGUGCCUGCAUCUCGAAGGAACUAACACAGUGGACAGGAGUCCCAUUUUGCAGACAGACACUGGAUCAAUGAUGAAGUUACUUGUGUAAGUCCUACAGCCAACAAAUGUUAAGAGCUGGGGUUGUGUGCAGGUAUGUUUGAUUCCACAAGCCAAGUCUUAGAAGCAUACUAGGCUUCCUCUCUAAUGAUCUAUGCAGGCUUAACUGUGAGGACAGGGAGUGAUGACACAUUUCAGUUUGGCCCCUUUGUUUUGUCGAUGAGAAACCUGAGACCAGUGAGGGAAAGGAUUCGCCCAUGGGUGCCAGUGGGAGGGGUGCACCUGGGCUGUGCACAGCCAUUUCCCUCCUUUGGAGGCUGAGGGAGGAGGUCACAGGGAGGCCUCAGGGUAUGGAGGGAGGUCAGGCUGGGGGGCUUAGUGUCUGACCCACCAGCCUGGCAGGCGGGAAUGUGCCUGUAGAAGCCCACGGCCCUCUUGGGGAGAAGCCAUGAAGUGAGGACUGAGUGCUGCCUGGAGGUGCUGGCUGGGAUGCACAGGGAAGAGCUGUCAGGGUAUGGGUCUAACACUGGAACAGCUGGGGGACAUUCCCUGGAUAUCCCUGCAUUGCCUUGAGGCUCUCCCAUCCCUGUUUGAUCCGUAAGCUCCAAGGAGACAUGUUUCCCAGCCAUAAUGCCUUCUGAUCCCAAUCUCUUCUACUCUUUUCAUUGGCAAGAGUCAUUCUCACCCGGGUUUUCUUAUAUAAUAAUUAUAAACUCAUUCAGGGCCUGUGAGUGAAAAGGCACACAUAUACAUUCAGGUCUAAUAUUCACUGAGCAACCAUCAGCACAAUGGUAUGUGACCUCUUUGAAUGCUGCACUAAUGCUCCACUGUCUAGAAGGAGGCCAGACUGCUCUGGGGACCAGGUGCAGAGGGUGCCCUCAAGUGUCUAGUGUCAGAGAGAGAGGGGCUACUCCACUUUGGCCAGGGUGAACUUGAGUUGGUGAUGACAAACAUCUGCAGCUAGUCUAUUUUUCUAAUCUCACCCUCCAAACAGCCCCAUCUUCUUGCAGGGAGGAUGGGUGAAGGCAUUUUCAAAAAUGGACAUCACAUGUGACAAACAGGCAAAGGACCCUGACAGAGCCACAAAACUGACACGCUCAUGAAAACUCAGACCGCUGACAAUGGUGAGCGCCGACCAAUUCAGCGCCAGGCGUGGAGGCUUCUGGCAAGAGUGGUGGGCUCUGUGCGUCCUGAUGGUGGCAGCAGAGACCAGCUUGGGAGCCACCUGGCUCCUCUGCCCUAGCCCAUUAUGGCCUGAAUCCAAUCAAUUUCAGUUCUCAGCACUUCUGAAAACGUGCGUGGCUUAGAGUGUCUGGCAGGGCUCAGGAGAGAAAAGCAUUUCUCAGCCCCGGGACACAUAUAUGCCUCCAGGCACUGGUUGUGGCUUGCAAUCUGGGAGGGCAGGUGAACGGACACCCUCCCUCCUUGCACAGGCCUGGGAUCUGCCUUACUCAACUCCCACUUCUACCAGGAGCAGAGGAUCACCGCUGCCCAGCACCCCGCCCAUCUGAAUUCUGACUCUGGUGGCUUCAGAGAAGCAAGGUAGGGGCCAGUGCUGGUAUGAAAUGCCAGAUGAGAGGAAACUGAUGCAUGCACUUUACUCCUGACUCAGAGUGCCUGAAAUAUCUGGCAAACUGGCAAAGGAUGAAACCCUUCUUUGAGGUCUGUAGAGUAGCUUUAAGAUAAAUGAAGCCACUGAGAAGGUCCAAAACAAGGGGCCCUUAGACGUGGAAGAGGUCUGCUUUCCUGAUAACUAGAGUGGUGCUGGGCUAUGAAAACAGUCCAAAUAGAUGAGGAUAGUUCCUGAGAGCACAGGGUUCUGAAGCUGGACAAAUAUUCUUCCACCUUAAUGGCCCUCUCACUGGAGCCUUCACAGGGUUAACGAUGGUCCCGCAGGAGUUGGGGCCAUGACUGAGGACAUGGAGCUGAUGUGGAGGCAGUCAGGGCCAAGGCAAGAGCCUCCUUGUGUAUAGUGGAAACGCAAGACAGACAUCAAAGGGAGUGGGGUGUGCGGUUCCCAAGGGGCUACCAGAGUCCACUUUUAUUAAAAGUUUGUGUCUUUCUUUAGAAAGUAAUAUGUUCCAUCUCCAGCACCUGAAGGCUCCUUUCAGGGUGCCAGAAGAAUCCUCAAGGGACAGUCCCAGGCUGUGUCCUUCCUCCUGUCUUGGCUGACAUUUUUAUGCAUGGUUUAGGCAGCCCAUGGGCUUUCCAGCUUUGCAAUAAGAUCUGAUCUAAUUUCAAGCUUAUACAUAACAGAAGGGCUGGGGGAGAAGUAGGAGUUCUUUUAGAAUUGCAAAAUCCAGGUGGGUGUAGCCUGUGGGGUGCAGGCUAUCCAGCUCAAAGAGGGAGGCCCAUAUCUCAGAUUCCCUAAUGCUCGGCACAGUGUCUGGCACACAAUGGGCACACAGGAAAUCCUGCACUGAAUCAAACAGAUUUUGUAUUACCAGAUCUAGGCUGACUCACUGUGUGGUCAGGACCUUGGGUCAAUCACUUCACCUGGUGACUCACUCCCUACCUGUAAGGUGUGGAGGACAGCUGGAGUCACUGUGGCACCUGUGUGUUUAGCAGUGUGUUUGCUUGUUCCUGCUUUUAUGUCUCUGGCUGGUCUAAGAUGGAAUGAUAAAAAAAUAACGGAAUGCACUUUGUAAACGAGAGCAUCCUAGACACAUGUAAAGAUUGGAAAAUUAGAAAGCUGUCUCUACUGUAGUUACUUCUCAGAUAUGACCAACCAUUAUUAAGAAUUCAUUGGCUAAUAGGGCUACAUUUUCUCAUGAUCAUUCUUCUGUUUUAGAAGUGGGCAACUGCAGUUUUAAGAAUAAAUGUGUAAAUGUGUGUUUUCAUGAGAGACAAUAAAGCUGUUUUCAUUAAGAAUGAAAUAUGCAACUUGCAAACACUUUUACUUUUCUUGAAUUGGGUCCUUCAGCAGAAGCAGUUUGCCCAGCCCUGACAUGGAAAGUUUACUUUGCUCAUCAACCUGAAGGAGACCGAAAGCUAUGAGAGGCGGCUCCUGAAAAGAAUCUAGACUCCGGAUAUAAAAAGAUCUUGCAACACAAGGCCAAGUGGAAAUCAUGGUUCGCAUUAAAGGCAUAAACCUCCUGCACUAACAACCCAGAGCAGGAGGAAAAGCUGGGAGACCUGGCUCAGCAGCCUUCCCUGAGGGAAGCCUUCGGGGCUUUGUUCCUCUUGAGAUCAGGGCAAGCCUAUGUAUGACCUGAAGCCAAUACAACCAGCAGAGCUGAUGCCAGUGCUGGCUGCCUGAGUGCUACUAAAGAAAGAGUCCACCAUCGGCUCCCUCUUCCGUAGCCAGACACAGGUGGAAUGCUGUGCUUCCUUUUGGGAGACAAAGCAGAAGCUACCCCAGAGGGGGCAGAUGGGAGACAGGCCCAGGCAAUGCAGCCCUACAAAGAAGACUUGAAGGGCCGGGGCUGAGCAGCUUGGAUGAAGAGAAGGCUGCCUUUCAGAGCUGUUUCAAAUGUUUCAGACGUUGCUAGACAAACUAGAGUUGUAUGGCUUCAGAUGGCACAGCUUAGGGCCAUAGAGUGGGAAUCACAAGAAGGCAAACUUUAGGCCCCCAGGAGAGCUGGACAACAACCUGGAGGGUCAGAGGAGAAUGGGCUGUCCAAGGAGCGGGGAUAUGAGGGUGGGGCAGUGUGGCCAUCCCUGGAAGGGGUAAGGGAGUGGCAGAUGGUAACCAUUUGGGGUGGGGUGUGGCUGAGGAUUCCUGCAAGGCUAUCAGAGAAACUCUAAGAAUCAUAAGAAUCAAAGCUCAAGUACAUGAGGGAAGACAUAAUGAAAUCCCUAAAGUUCUGAGAGGUUGUACCAGAUUCUUUAUGGAGAAUACAGAGAGAAUGCCUCCUGACUCCUCAUUCACAGAGUGCCAGGCAGCAGCAAGGAGAAGCUGGUGGCCUUGGGAGGGCAAAAACUAAGGACAAGGUCCACAAUGCAAUCAGCUCACAUCACCUACGAACAAAUAAAGUGGGGUGGGGGUGGAGAGUUGCUAGAGUUUACGUAACUCUCAAGCCUUAAUUUAGCUGCAAGAACUAGGUUUUUGCCAAAGCUAUAGAACUUCCCACCAGAUGAAAGCUUUAUCUCUUUUUCUUUCUUAGGAGAAGAGAGACAGAAGGAGAGAAGAGGGGCAGGAGGAGAGAAAACACAAGAAAGAGGAUGGAAGAUAAAGAGGAAGGCCAGAGUGAGGCAGGAGAAAGCUGAGCUGGAACCUAACUCCUGUUGAUCUGCUGCAGAGACCCUCUCAUUCCACAAUUGCUCCCGCCAUGCCAAGGAGACAAGCUCAACAUACAAAGAACAAGGAGAGAACAAUGGAAGAUGGCCUAUAAUUCAGAAGCACAUUGGGUGGAGCAUAUUGCACAUGUAGAAGCUUGUCACGGAACCCAAGAAAGCUGGAGGAACCUGGGAAGGCUUCCUGGAAGAAGGGAAAGCUGAGUUCUCUUAUCACCACUCCACCAUUUGUUCAUGUCCUCAUGUACAUAUUCAACAAACAUUUAUUGAGGGCUGAGUGUGGCUUUGUGUAUCCCAGAUAAACUAGUAUCCUGAUCUUAGCCAUGGAUCUCAGCUGCUACUAUCUCAUUCCCCACCAUGGGCAAUAAGAUGCAUACUGGUAGGGAAAAUUCUGGCAAAUUUUGUAAAGUUUAUCCAUAGGCAUAAACACUUUACCCUGUGUUAUGCUCAGAAGAGGAACACACAUUUAUUAAGCACCUACCACAUCUGCAAAUAACUUUACUCCCAAAAACUGAUUUGAUACUUAAGCAGCUUUUGUAAGGUGUGUUUCAUUCCCUAAAACUAAAGUUCAGAGAGGUUAAAAGAUUUAUCCAAGGUCACACAUUCAAGGUGGAGCCAAGAUGCACAACUAAGUCUAUUACUGUUUUUUUCAUACUCCCCCACUUCUCUGUCUCCCUCUUUCUAUUCUCAGCUGCAGACUCUGCCAGCUGCAAACUUCUUUAGUAGUUAUUCCUGAUUACUUCUGCUCCUGGUGAGCUCAUCACCUGAUUAAAGGGCUCCUAGCUUCACCAGACCUUGGAGAUGACAAACAGAUGACCCUGGAGAGGCAGGCUCUCUAGGGCUGUUCCAUUUUGGUCUGGCCCCCAUUCCAGCCGGGGAUAUAGUUCAAACCCUGACUCUGAGUUGAGCCCAAGAAAAUAAGACCAAGAUGAAAGCUUAAGUGCAUCCCCUGAAAGGCUCUUAUCUCCAGGCUAAGCUUGGAAGUGGGGAGACAGAGCACCACAACCCAACUUGGGGAUGUUGUCUCUUGUAGAAACACCUUCCUCAGUAACAGAAGGGUAGCUGCCCCUAUGUCCUAGAGAGCGGGAGUAAGAGAAAGUGGCUCCUUGCCUCUGAGAUUUGCUUAGCUGAUCCUCCCUCACCCCAACCAUAGCUCUUAACAAACCCAGGUACGCAUAAAUAUAAAUACCACCCUAUGUGUAUUUCCUGUGCCCUCCCUUUUCUCUUUCCUGAGGAGUUAUGGAGAGAAAAUAAAUGCCAGAAUUACAGAAAACUAGGUAUAAAUCUACUCACUAGCUUUAUGGCCUUGCAUCUAUUUCCCAUAUAAGCUGGCAGGGUUGGGAUUCUGUCUAGCUCUUUCCAUUUAUCAUGAUGUCCUCUUUUUGGUUCUUUUAGAUUUUGCAUCGGGUUGAUGUAGUGGAUGCUGUAGUCCACUACCCAGAUUCCUUCCCCAACCCACAACAAUGAGGUUCUCAUUCCGGAGCUGCUAGGAGGGAUGCCAGAUAAUAGCACACAGCUGAACUUCUCUUCAGCUAUUGCCCUCAGAUUAAGAAAGCUGCCUUGCUCAAGGUUACACGCCUUUCCUGGGAAACCAGUAUCCAAUGACUGGUUCCUGUAAAAGGAAUGGAGCUGCCUUAAAAGAGCUGCCUUGCUUCAAUUUGGGAAGACUAUGAAGAGCCAUCCCAGCUCUGGAGUUCUCCGUAGGGUUGGCUUGUGUAUUUGCAGGCAUCUUUGCUCAUAACAAUGAUAUCAUCUUCAUGCACAGCGAAUUAUGUUGCGGAACUUUUGGGCCUGCAGCAAAGUUUCUGUUACAGCAUUUCCUGGAAGUAUCCUUGGGUCUGUGACCCUCAUCUCCCCACAGCAGGAAGGGCAAGCAUCACAUCAUCAGUAUUGAAAGGUGCAUCAGGUUUACUGGCAAUAGCACUAAUAAUGCUAAUUAUAGAAGUGAUAGUGAGGUGGGGGGGUGGUGAUAGGAAUGGUCAAAUACAUAUCAUUUAUUUGGUCCUACUUUUUCCAGGUGUUAAGCAGUUUUCUACUAUGCCAGGUUAUAUUUUCCAAACAUGACUGUACCAAAAUAUCUCAUCCCAUAGGUUCUUACAAUGUGAUGUUGCUAUUUACUGAGAAGUGGUGUCUGCAUUCCCUCCUCUUUCAUAUGGCCAGGUUUUUGAGACUAUGCAGAAGUUAUUCCAUGAGUUCCAAGCCCAGGUCAUGAAAGAUAACUUGUAAUAAAUCUGGCUACCCUGAAGCUGCCAUGCUUGAGAGACCACACGAGAUGGAGAGAGAUGCUUAGGAGUCCCAGCUGUCCAAGCCUCCAGCUAUGUGAAUCUUCCCAGCAGCAACUGCCAGACAUGUGGUACACCCAAAAUGACUUUGGGGCUACACUUGGAAUUGGCAAGGUUCCAGAAAACAGAGGGACUAUCAUCAGAGACAGCGCACAAAAAGUGGGAGAAAGGUCACCAGCCUCACUCAUGGGCUAUUAUGAAUAAAGCUGCUAUGAACACUUGUUUACAAGUUCUUUGUGAGGACACAUGUUUUCAUUUAUCUUGGGAAAAUACCUAGAGAUGGAACUCUGGGACACAUGGUAAUAAAGUAUAUUGGCAUAAUGCAAGAGUCAAGAUGCAGAAAAUAACUACUGUGUGAUGUCUCUCUCCCAGCUUUAACCCGCCUGAAGGGCAGCACUGAGUUCAACACACUGUCCCACAAUUGUUGCACUCUCACACUGAAGUGAACAGAUUCUUUCUCCGUGCCGUGCAGCUCCCGGCAGAGGAUGAGGGAAGGGUACCAUCGGUGAUUCAGCACUGUGUUUCCUAUCCUCUUCAAUGACUCUUUCAGCGAUAUGAAGGUAAAACCAGUUAGGUGAAUGGAGCACAUGGCUAUGCUUUGUUUUAAAUGAAAGUCUUUGUCAUCCAGCGGAGGACUUUAAUUCAUUUACAUUUAUUGACAUAAAUGUUGACUUGAAAGCGUGUGUCAGAUCCCUUCACUAUAUCUUCAGACCUGCCCCAAGGAGUGAGGAAGGGCAACACCAAGAACUUCUCUCCAAGGACCAUAACCUGCGAACCCCAUCUCACCUCCUCCUGCCAGAUGGACACAGUCAUUGUCCUCCUGGCUGAUCCCAUGUCCAUGUCUUGCUCUGGCUACUUUCAUACACCCAUAAUGACAUUUUCCAUCUACUCAAUUUUUUAAAAGCUCAGCUCGAACCUCACGGAUUUUCCUGACAAUCUGCUUCUCUCAAUGGCCUUAAUUUAAGUGAGGGUUGUCAGUCUUACUGGGUCUCGUUUUUUGUCUUAAAUAAUAACUAUUUAUGGGUAUCAAGUGUCUCCUCAAUUUGGCUAUGAUCCUUCACGGCAGAAAUACUGUCUUAUCUUGUGAUCAUGGAGUCACAAGAUUUCAUGGCUAGGAAUAUUCGUCAAAUUAAUCCUAGAUUGAGGAUCAGGUAGUAUGUGGUCUGAUUCUAACUCAACAACUUGCAGAAACUCACUUCUUUUUUCUUUUUUUUUCCCCAGGAGGAGCUAUCGUAUUAACUGACGAAACUCACUUCAUUUCUUUGGACCUGCAAAAUGAGGAUGGGCUCUAAACCACCUCUAAAGUUAAUAUUCUAUGAUUCCAUGAUAAGGCUAUUUGUCAUUUAUAAAAAAAGGAACUUCCACAUAGCCCAGAGAAAGGAAAUGACUUUUUCAAGUUUACAGAGUCAAUUAAUGGACGAAAUGUAAUUUGAAAUUCAAUCUCCUGAUCCCCAGUCUAUUGGGAGUUCUUUCAGAAUGUCCCUUGACUGUCCCUCAAAGUGCCAGCAUGUAUGAAACCUUGUUAAGGAUGUAUGCUCAAUGAAAAUACACAAAUUGACUUAACAAGAAACUAAACUCUCCAGAAAGAUGCAGUUGACCCAAAACUCUGAAUAUCUUUUAUGUUUAAAACUUUCUUUUUUGAACAAAAUUGUACAGUUACUUCUCUAUUUCAACUCUUAAGCCUUUUAUGCCACGUCAAAGGUUAGCUCUCUUUUCUCUCUGUUAAUAAAGUCUUAUUCUUGACUUUGGAACUGUA
rnacentral:lncRNA from 1 species